AAUCUUCCGCAAUGGGCGCAAGCCUGACGGAGCAACGCCGCGUGAGUGAAGAAGGUUNNNGGAUUNUCAAACUCUGUCCAUGGNGACNAUAAUGACGGUACCCGUGGAGGAAGCCCCGGCUAACUACGUCCCAGCAGCCGCGGUAAAACGUAGGGGGCAAGCGUUGUCCGGAAUUACUGGGCGUAAAGGGCGUGUAGGCGGCUGGUCAAGCCAAUAGUGAAACCCGACGGCUCAACCGUCGGCUUGCUGUCGAAACUGACUAGCUUGAGUGCAGGAGAGGAGAGUGGAAUUCCCAGUGUAGCGGUGAAAUGCGUAGAUAUUGGGAGGAACACCAGUGGCGAAGGCGGCUUUCUGGACUGCACCUGACGCUGAGGCGCGAAAGCCAGGGUAGCGAACG
rnacentral:rRNA from 1 species